rnacentral:lncRNA from 1 species
UGCCAGAAAAUACAACCGCAAAGCAAUAUUCCACCAAAUAAUCCUCAUUCUCUUCAGUUUUGUUCUCCCCAUGUUCCUGCUUCUAAUGUCAAACUUCAGUGAACCCCUUUUCUCCUUGGCAGGCAGCUCCCUAAGGGAAACCCUCAUUUCUUACACUAUUCCCUUAAGAACCUUCUGGAAUAUAUUAACAGAAGAUUUCAGAUACUAUAUUUCCAUUGGCACCAUGGUCCUCUCCUUGCUCUUCCUCGUCAUUGCAAGGUUUAGUUUCAGG